UACGUAGGGGGCUAGCGUUGUCCGGAAUCAUUGGGCGUAAAGCGCGUGUAGGCGGCCCGAUAAGUCCGCUGUGAAAGUCGGGGGCUCAACCCUCGAAAGCCGGUGGAUACUGUCAGGCUAGAGUACGGAAGAGGCGAGUGGAAUUCCUGGUGUAGCGGUGAAAUGCGCAGAUAUCAGGAAGAACACCUAUGGCGAAGGCAGCUCUCUGGGACGGUACUGACGCUGAGACGCGAAAGCGUGGGGAGCGAACAGG
rnacentral:rRNA from 1 species